rnacentral:rRNA from 1 species
UACGUAGGGGGCAAGCGUUGUCCGGAUUCAUUGGGCGUAAAGAGCGUGUAGGCGGCCAGGUAGGUCGGUUGUGAAAACUGGAGGCUCAACCUUCAGACGUCGACCGAAACCAUCUGGCUAGAGUCCGGGAGAGGAGAGUGGAAUUCCUGGUGUAGCGGUGAAAUGCGCAGAUAUCGAGAGGAACACCUGCGGCGAAGGCGGGUUGCUGGGCCGACACUGACGCUGAUGCGCGAAAGCCAGGGGAGCGAACGGG